rnacentral:lncRNA from 1 species
AAAAUUGAAAAAAAAAACAAAAAUAGAACAAAACCAACAAUGUUUUAAAAUAAUUUGAAUUAAAUAGGGGAUACAAAAAUGAUUAAUCUAAAUCAAAUAAGUUACGAAAGGAAAAUAAAAUAAAGAAUGUCAAUACUAAAAUAAUAAAAUUAAUGAAAUCAAAAACUACAAAUGCAGAGGAUCGAAACAAGGGCCUGGUGGGAAACAAAAGAUGUAUCAACCACCAGGCCAUGAG